ACCAGAGCUCCUGACAGGCCCUGCCCCUUUGCGGAGGGUUGGGGAGUGAAGAAGAGGCCCGCCCCGGAGGAGGCCCAUUAGGGCUGAAAGUGUUUUCAGAGGAAAUCAUGCUGAAAAGUAAAAUGAACUGUCCGGACCACUUUAGACUAAAUUCUCCUACAUACGUACUUUGAGACUAGGCUAAAAGAGUUCAUCUGCCUUCUGACCCCAUGCUCCCCACCCCUCUAACGUGUCGGAUGCCCUUGCUUAGCUUUUACAGCCGGAUUUGCUACCCACCCUUCGAGGCCCCAUCCCUCCCCCACUCCUGGAGGUUUUUGCGGUAAGGGGCCAUAGCUGGGUCCCUCUCUGCAUCUAACUCUAGCAGCUCUCUGAGUCAGUUGUAGGAGGUGAUAACGACGUGAGAAUGCGCUCCCAAGUGAAGAGAGCCUCGCCUGAGCCUGCCUGCACUUCCUGUUCUCACGCAUACAGUCAUCAGCAACAAUUUACUGAAACCUCCUCUGUGCCCUACCCUGUCCUUGGCACCAAAGGCAGGAGAAAGGAUUAGGCCUGGUGGCUCCUCUGGCUGACAGUGCUAAACCAGCUCCUGUUCUGAGCAAGCUCUUUGAAGACCAGAAUGCGGAUUUGUCCAACAGCUGCUUGGCUUACGGGUUAGGCUGUUGCUACAAAAAUAUACCUCUAACGUCAUCUACUACUGCUCUAUUAAUCUCCUAUCAAACUGGCCUUUUUUCUCUCUUCCUCUCAGUGCUGGGGGUGGAACCCAGGACUUCAGGCAAGCUAGGCAUGCACUGUUAUACCUAACAGUGAUCCUAACUAAGGUCCCCAAACAUAACCAAACUUUUAGCAACCUUUGUAUCUGCUGUUACUUGUGCCUCAAAAGCUCCUCCCUGCACCUGGCUGUUAAUAGAACUAGCCUCUCCUUCCUCCACAGACAGUGUAAUGUCUCCUUAGAAAUCCCUACCCAGAAAUGUAUGCCCAGAAAAAUACAACAGGGAUCUUGUCUUUGGCAGUACUGAUAAAGAGAAGUAAUGAAAAGAAGACAAAGAGGCAGAGAGAAGAGACACCAGGGAUCAAGAGAAGAUUCAACUUGCCAAGUGGGCAUGGUGGUGCUUACCUGUAAUCCCAGUCCUGAGAAAGGCUGAAGCAGGAGGAUCAUGAGUUUGAGGCCAGUCUGGACUAGUGUGUUCAAGAUCUGUCUUAACUACAUAGACCUAUCUUAAAUACUCCCCCCACAAAAAAAAAAAUUCCUGAAAAUAUCACUGGGGGAUGGAGUUGUGCAAUUAGGCAGCUUGCACUAGCCACUCCAUAAAUAUGGUUUUGUUUAAUCCUUGCACUCCCACAAAGCACUCUAUAUUCUUCAUUUCCAUUAUAAAAUAAAACAGAAUGAGAUGUUGUCUCUA